UUGCUGUAGAUCCUUGCUUACCUAAGGCUUUCUGAAGGCAAGCUGUUAUCAUCCUAUUGUAGUAUUACAGCAGCUGAGGCUUUGUGGUUACCCUUCUUUGUCUUGGUUGUACCAAGGAGCUAAUAGUUUAUCUCUGCUGUUGAUACAUUUGGAACAAAACUAUCCACAAGAGUCAUUGGAGUAUGUUGCAGAUCCCCAGCAUCCAAGUGAAUUAACAAAGUCUCUUGCUCUCCGCAAUGUGCCGUCCCGUGAUGAAUGAUGUGUUUGGCAUCAGGACGUCUGCAAUUUGAAAGAGAUGUGCUGUCAUUGUAGCCAUCCACUUGACUGCUUCUGCUGUCCAUGGGACAGAUCUGCCAGUCAUGAAUUGGAAUCAAAUGUAGUUGUCCUGCUGUCACAGAGAACAGUGGCUUGGCUCCCCAACUGGUUGUAAAUCCAGGUCUCUGCAGUGGAGCUAUUCUGAUUUACACCAGAGGAAAAUCUGGCCUCUCGCUGAGAAGAAAUGGGCUGCCAGUUUAAUUACUUCAUCCCAGUUACUCCAAGGAGGAAUAACCCUCUCAUCAUAUAUAAAAGAAAGGUUAAAAUCUAACAAACCCUUUUGGAAAUCUUGCCACAUUUCCUCCAGUCAAGAAGGAAUAGAAUUUUGCCAGGAAUUCACCAGCCAUCCAAGCCAGCUGAUAGCUCCAAUCAGUAACAGUAACACUGGAUGAUAAGGAUUUGCACUGUAGCAGCUAGAAGGCAUUUGGUUGCAAGCCAGCACCCCUACAGUUUUGCUCUGGUAGGAGCAGAACAGAAAGACAGUCAUUUUCCUAAAAGUCUUACUCAGUUAAGGCUUAAUGAAUGCGGCUCGCAGGCUUCCGUUCCUGAGAAAGGAAAGGUGAAAAGCACUUUGCAGAAUCAGAGUAAUCAUGAUUUGGGACUAUUUUUUUUUUUCCUAUUUAUCCUCUCCCAGUGUCUAUUACAGUAAGAGACCAUUUUCCUUAAAGCCUCCCUGAAGUCCAGAGGGAGUCAGGAAUGGUACUGAGUGAGUACUGAUGGGAGACACUGAAAACAAAGUUAGGGACUGGAGGGAUGUGAAGCACUCUGUUUUCAGGGCUGAGCCCAACCUGUCAACCAGGAGGAAGUUUUCUCACCUACCAGAUGCUGAUCCCUGCCAGCAAUGAGAUGGCAGACGGACAAUGAGUUUCUGGGGUUUUCAUAUUUCAGGGAAGGCUGAUGGCAGAGCUCACAUAGCUUAUCACCCAUCAUCUGCACUGCGUCCAGGGCUGCAACACAGAGCCAAGGUGCGUCCAGGCCCUGAGAUGUCUGAUCAGAGGGUGAAGGCAAUGGAGUGUGGGAAUAAAAGAAAGGAUGGUCAGGCCUUAUGGCAAUACUUGCCCUAGUGCAGAUUUUUCCAUGCAGAUAGAGGAAGGCUAUGCCUCAUCCAGACCCAUGCUUCAAAGAGUUUUCUUAAACCCUAGUGGAAAUGCUACAGCUGAGGGUGUCCCUUGUGUAAGAGAGGAUCCUAGAUGCUAUCACCGUGUCAGCCAAGCCAGGGUUCUGUAGGACUGCCUGGAAGAAGUAUUCUAAGACCUCAUGGUUUUAGUUUCCAUCAGUGGAACCAAGUUCUGCUGAAAAGGGUAUCUCCUGUGGGAAAGGAUUGCUUACUGAUGCUUUCAGAGAUAGAUAUAUGGAAUUAAAUCUAUC
rnacentral:lncRNA from 7 species